GACGAACGCUGGCGGCGUGCUUAACACAUGCAAGUCGAACGGAAAGGCCCUGCUUUUGUGGGGUGCUCGAGUGGCGAACGGGUGAGUAACACGUGAGUAACCUGCCCUUGACUUUGGGAUAACUUCAGGAAACUGGGGCUAAUACCGGAUAGGAGCUCCUGCUGCAUGGUGGGGGUUGGAAAGUUUCGGCGGUUGGGGAUGGACUCGCGGCUUAUCAGCUUGUUGGUGGGGUAGUGGCUUACCAAGGCUUUGACGGGUAGCCGGCCUGAGAGGGUGACCGGCCACAUUGGGACUGAGAGACGGCCCAGACUGCUACGUAAGGCAGCGGUGGGGAGUAUUGCACAAUGAGCGGGAGCCUGAUGCGACAACGCCGCGUGCGGGAUGACGGCCAUGGGGUUGUAAAGCGCUUUCGCCUGUGACGAAGCGUGAGUGACGGUAAUGGGUAAAGAAGCACCGGCUAACUACGUG
rnacentral:rRNA from 1 species